GGGAGAAACUCAUAUAAACUAAAGGAAAAUAAGGAAGACUUUUCCAACAGAUCAUAGAGCUUUUUGUGGAAAAGGAUCGGCAGACAGACUCAAAAACUGACAGCCCUGCAAAACCCCAACCUGCACGGACGGAAAAAAACAAAGACAAAGAUGAAUCUAUUUGCCUGUGCCGAAUACAAUUGAAUAGAUCUGCACUGCUUUUCUUCUGGCGUAACAUUACAAUUAACAGACCCUGAGUGAGGCUAAUCAGUGCUGUCAUCAGAUGCGCCGAACAAAGAAGAGGAGGAGACCACUGCAGGCCCAAGGUGCAUCUGUGGGGGAGGAGAGAGCUCUGCUGAUACUGGAUGAUGGCGCUCCUUGUCAAGUAUGGCUCUCAGAGACUAAUGGGUGGAAAAAAGGGUUGACUCAAACACUGAGGGGAGAUCUCAUGCGCUGUAGAAGAUUUGCGUGCAGCUCCUGUGUGUGCAAAGACAAUUAGGGGAUGAAGCCUCGGACUGAUGGAAGUGGAGGAAAUGCUUACGGGAAAGAAGCUGCACUGUAAAGAGGAUAGAGAACUCAGCAAUGACAGGCGCACUUGUGGUGGGCCUUUCUGCCUCAUGGCUGGGUGGCAUUAAUUCCUGGCAUGGCUGUUCUUGGACUCUGUGGGGCUUCAGAAUCCUGUGGUUGCUCAGAUUCUUGUUUUGCCUGUAAUAA